rnacentral:rRNA from 1 species
UACGUAGGGUGCAAGCGUUGUCCGGAAUUAUUGGGCGUAAAGAGCUCGUAGGCGGCUCGGUAAGUCGGGUGUGAAAACUCUAGGCUCAACCUAGAGACGCCACCUGAUACUGCCGUGGCUAGAGUCCGGUAGGGGAGCAUGGAAUUCCUGGUGUAGCGGUGAAAUGCGCAGAUAUCAGGAGGAACACCAGUGGCGAAGGCGGUGCUCUGGGCCGGAACUGACGCUGAGGAGCGAAAGCGUGGGGAGCAAACAGG